UGGGGAAUCUUGCGCAAUGGGCGAAAGCCUGACGCAGCAACGCCGCGUGGGGGAUGAAGGCUUUCGGGUUGUAAACCCCUUUCAGUGGGGACGAAAUUAGACGGUACCCACAGAAGAAGCCCCGGCCAACUACGUGCCAGCAGCCGCGGUAACACGUAGGGGGCAAGCGUUGUCCGGAUUUAUUGGGCGUAAAGAGCUCGUAGGCGGUUCGGUAAGUCGGGUGUGAAAACUCUGGGCUCAACCCAGAGACGCCACUCGAUACUGCUGUGACUAGAGUCCGGUAGAGGAGCGUGGAAUUCCUGGUGUAGCGGUGAAAUGCGCAGAUAUCAGGAGGAACACCAGCGGCGAAGGCGGCGCUCUGGGCCGGAACUGACGCUGAGGAGCGAAAGCGUGGGUAGCAAACA
rnacentral:rRNA from 1 species